UACAGAGGGGGCGAGCGUUUAUUCGGAAUUAUUGGGCGUAAAGGGCGCGUAGGCGGCCUUUCAAGUGACGGGUGAAAUCCCUCGGCUUAACCGAGGAACUGCCUGUCAGACUGGAAGGCUUGAGACCGGGAGAGGUGAGUGGAAUUCCCAGUGUAGCGGUGAAAUGCGUAGAUAUUGGGAGGAACACCAGUGGCAAGGAGGCGCACAUCGAUGCCGGUACUGACGCUGAGGCGCGAAAGCGUGGGGAGCAAACAGG
rnacentral:rRNA from 1 species